UACGUAGGUGGCAAGCGUUAUCCGGAUUUACUGGGUGUAAAGGGCGUGUAGGCGGGUCUGCAAGUCAGAUGUGAAAUACUGCGGCUCAACCGCAGAAUUGCAUUUGAAACUACGGAUCUUGAGUGUCGGAGAGGUAAUUGGAAUUCCCAGUGUAGCGGUGAAAUGCGUAGAGAUUGGGAGGAACACCAGUGGCGAAGGCGGAUUACUGGACGACAACUGACGCUGAGACACGAAAGCGUGGGGAGCAAACAGGAUUAGAUACCCGGGUA
rnacentral:rRNA from 1 species